rnacentral:rRNA from 1 species
AUUGAACGCUGGCGGCAGGCCUAACACAUGCAAGUCGAACGAGUGGCGGACGGGUGAGUAAUGUCUGGGAAACUGCCCGAUGGAGGGGGGUAACUACUGGAAACGGUAGCUAAUACCGCAUACCAUCGGAUGUGCCCAGAUGGGAUUAGCCAGUCGGUGGGGUAACGGCUCACCUAGGCGACGAUCCCUAGCUGGUCUGAGAGGAUGACCAGCCACACUGGAACUGAGACACGGUCCAGACUCCUACGGGAGGCAGCAAUGGGGAAUAUUGCACAAUGGGCGCGAGCCUGAUGCAGCCAUGCCGCGUGUAUGAAGAAGGCCUUCGGGAUGUAAAGUGCUUUCAGCGAGGAGGCAUUACUCGCAGAAGAAGCACCGGCUAACUCCGUGCCAGCAGCCGCGGUAAUAC